rnacentral:rRNA from 1 species
AACGGCCGCGGUAUUUUGACCGUGCAAAGGUAGCAUAAUCAUUAGUCCUUUAAUAGGGGGCUGGUAUGAAGGGUUUGACGAAGAGCUUACUGUCUCUUGUUUAAUUAUUAGAAUUUGACUUUUUAGUUAAAAGGCUUAGAUUUUGUUGGUAGACGAGAAGACCCUAUAGAGCUUUACAUUUUAUGGAUUUUUUGUUUUGUUGUUUAAUGUUUUACUUAAGAUUUAGUUUCGGUGUUUUGUUGGGGUGAUAUUUGAAUAUAAUUAACUUCUUUUGUUUUUUUCAUUGAUUUAUGUUUCUUUGAUCCUUUAUUGACGAUUUUUAGACUAAGUUACCUUAGGGAUAACAGCGUAAUCCUUUCUUGGAGUUCUUAUUUACGAAAGGGCUUGCGACCUCGAUGUUGGAUUAAGAUUACAUUUGGGUGUAGUAGCUUAAUUGGUGGGUCUGUUCGAC